AAAGUAACUGUAAACUACAUUCCUGGUAAAAUGUUAAAUUUAUACAUAUUUUUUUCUUUAUUAAUAGGAGAGUGUAGAAGAUUCACAAUGGAAAGUUUAUCUCAACACUCAGAACAUUCGGAAAAAGAACUAACAGGAUUUACAGAUAAUCAAGUGUGAUGUUUAAAGCAACUUUUGACAACAGCAAAGCAAGAGGAAAAUUACAAUAUCACAUUAGAUUUUUAUCUGUUUUAAUAGGAAUAUGUUACAAAUAGUAUAGAGUAAUAAUAAAACUGAAUGUGAUUAUGUUUUUAUUGCAUCUUGUAUUGCAAUGUAUUACUACAAAUUUAGUCUAAAGUAUCUAAAUUCAUGAAAAUAAAUAUCUCCCAAAUGUUUAGAAAUAUGAACAAUUAUCCAUAAAACAAACUAUAAAACUUUUCCUCUUCUCCACUAUUCCACAGGAAUGUGAUAUCAAAAUUUAUUUCUAAUGAGAAAAUAAUUAUAAGCUUAAGGGCAUCUUCUUCUAAUAUUUGCUAAAAUUCCAAGGAACCUAUUCAGCAUAGAUUACUGGAUCAUAAGCAAUAAAUGCUAUCAUAUUGAUAAAUAUUUUUCAAAACAGUUCAUUUAUCAAACAAAGUAUAUUCAAUGAUACUUUUGCCUGAUGGUAAGUAAUCGAAUUUAUCAUGUCAAAAAUUUUUUUUUAAUCCUUCAGUCUUAGGACCCUCCCUGACGUAUCUUACAAAAUGAGAGAAAACAGCUAAAGUGAUUAUGAACAUACUUUCUGAAGAUCUCCAGCUCAAAGGCAAUUCAUGAAUGGAGUACUUUACCAGCAAUAAAGAAUUUUCUCUUGUUUAAUCCUGGUCAGUAUAUGCUUUAGUUCUGGUUUCUUUGAAUGCUCCAUGAUUGAUUGGUAGAUACUAAU
rnacentral:lncRNA from 1 species